AUUGAACGCUGGCGGCAGGCCUAACACAUGCAAGUCGAGCGGAUGAAGGGAGCUUGCUCCUGGAUUCAGCGGCGGACGGGUGAGUAAUGCCUAGGAAUCUGCCUGGUAGUGGGGGAUAACGUCCGGAAACGGGCGCUAAUACCGCAUACGUCCUGAGGGAGAAAGUGGGGGAUCUUCGGACCUCAGCUAUCAGAUGAGCCUAGGUCGGAUUAGCUAGUUGGUGGGGUAAAGGCCUACCAAGGCGACGAUCCGUAACUGGUCUGAGAGGAUGAUCAGUCACACUGGAACUGAGACACGGUCCAGACUCCUACGGGAGGCAGCAGUGGGGAAUAUUGGACAAUGGGCGAAAGCCUGAUCCAGCCAUGCCGCGUGUGUGAAGAAGGUCUUCGGAUUGUAAAGCACUUUAAGUUGGGAGGAAGGGCAGUAAGUUAAUACCUUGCUGUCUUGACGUUACCAACAGAAUAAGCACCGGCUAACUUCGUG
rnacentral:rRNA from 1 species